GGGGAUUUGGCUCAGUGGUAGAGCACUUGCCUAGUAACCGCAAGGCCCUGGGUUCGAUCCCCAGCUCCG
rnacentral:tRNA from 1 species